CACGUAGGGGGCAAGCGUUGUCCGGAUUUAUUGGGCGUAAAGAGCUCGUAGGCGGUUCGGUAAGUCGGGUGUGAAACCUCCAGGCUCAACCUGGAGAGGCCACCUGAUACUGCUGUGACUCGAGUCCGGUAGGGGAGAGUGGAAUUCCUGGUGUAGCGGUGGAAUGCGCAGAUAUCAGGAGGAACACCAACGGCGAAGGCAGCUCGCUGGGACGGUACUGACGCUGAGGCGCGAAAGCGUGGGGAGCGAACAGG
rnacentral:rRNA from 1 species